UUGGGAAGUUCUUUCUUUGUAAAAAGACCUCUCCCCUCUCUCUAACACUACCAAGCCAGUUCUCAGUUUUCAGUUCAGGAGAGGUCCGGCCUUUUGGCCAUUUACCUUCCUCUCUAGCUCUUUCUUUGAUCUGUGUUUUAUAGUUUUUCUUUAGUUUGUGUUUUGUUGCAGUGCUACUACAAUCUCUGGAUAUAAAGUUUAGUUGCCCUCCUUAGAUGGGUAUGUUGUUCUUUCGAUUGUUUCCAAGUGGUUUCAUGUUUGUUCCAAAGGGUUUCCCAGCAUGGAUGGCAACUCAAAGUAGCGAUGGUGGAAGUAGCAAUGGUGGUUCAUCUAUGGGCAACAGUCUUCCUAUGGGCUAGAGUAGAUUGAGAGGUCUGAGCUCUGCCAUUCCUAUCCUGGUUUCCACCGGUAUAUACAUGAGUCCUAGCUUUUUCUUUAAUUUGUUGCAGUCUUUUGUUUGGCUUGCCUGUUUUGAGGGAGACAAUUUGUCCGGGGAGCUUUGCUUCUUUUCUUUGAUGGAGGUAAAGCUUCUAGAGGCGCUUUCUGUGUGAGUUUCUCCCAGUGUUGAAGGUUGAUGAUAUCUGGUGUUGCGGCCAUGGAUUGUCCUACUUCUAGUUGUGCCAGGUCUUCAUCUUCUGUCGAAUCUAUACCCGUUUGUAUGGAUUUCUUAGUUGUAUGGGUGUUGUGCUUUAAUUUUCCAAGGGUUGAUAGCUGAAAAUAUAGUUAGGACUGUUGUAUGUAAUGAAUGGGCUGUAUCUUGUAUUGUGUUUUCUAUCAAUGAAGUCCUUUAUUUCUGAAUAAAA
rnacentral:misc_RNA from 1 species